rnacentral:rRNA from 1 species
GACGAACGCUGGCGGCGUGCUUAACACAUGCAAGUCGAACGGAAAGGCCCUGCUUUUUUGGGGGGCUCGAGUGGCGAACGGGUGAGUAACACGUGAGUAACCUGCCCUUGACUUUGGGAUAACUUCAGGAAACUGGGGCUAAUACCGGAUAGGAGCUCCUGCUGCAUGGUGGGGGUUGGAAAGUUUCGGCGGUUGGGGAUGGACUCGCGGCUUAUCAGCUUGUUGGUGGGGUAGUGGCUUACCAAGGCUUUGACGGGUAGCCGGCCUGAGAGGGUGACCGGCCACAUUGGGACUGAGAUACGGCCCAGACUCCUACGGGAGGCAGAAGUGGGGAAUCUUGCACAAUGGGCGGAAGCCUGAUGCAGCAACGCAGCGUGCGGGAUGACGGCCUUCGGGUUGUAAACCGCUUUCGCCUGUGACGAAGCGUGAGUGACGGUAAUGGGUAAAGAAGCACCGGCUAACUACGUG